ACAACAGUGAAGCUCUGUCUCAAAAAAAGAAAAGAAGAGAGGAGAAGAGAGAAGAGGAGAGGAGAAAAAGAGAAGAGAAGAAGAGAAGAGAAGCGAAGCAAAGCUGUGGCCUGUAAUGAAAGGAAGUAGAGAAGUGGCUGGCAGAGGAAGCAGAUUAAGAAGCUGCCGGAGAGUAUCCUGAAUACCUGAAGAAGAUGACUGAGGAAAAUGGCAAUUUGCUUGAGCAGGUUGUCAGUGCUGCUGAAACUCUGGAAGCAAAUGCCUACUUGCACAUCUAUUGCAAAGCAUGAGAAAAGGACCAGAGGCUUCAAGCCUGGAAAAGACAAACUCGAAGUUCUGCUUUGUUCCAGUGUGUUCCGAUUAAACAGAGUCCAAAAUUGUUGCCUUUUUACAAGAGAAGGCCAGAAACACUUUUCUGUCUACAUGAAGGGAAACCAUAAAAUAUGGAUCACUGAGAAACUCUUUUUGAACUGGUCUUUGAAGUGUUUUGUUCUGAGGUUAAAUAAUAUUUAAAUGAAUAAAAAAUCUUGACUUCACAGUGUUGCUGAUUCUGGACACUGCUCCUACAGACAAAAAUGCAGUCAUAAAUGCUGCUCCUUGUGUUCAAGUCAUCUCCAUUACCCCCAGUACGACUCCACUCCUUCAACUCAUGCAUCUGAGAGUGCUAAAGUUUCUGAUGUACUACGCUCGGCCUGUAUUUCGACUACCCGCAGAUCUUAUCAGAGACACCAGAACUUUACUGUGAAAGUGGCUUGGCAAAAUUUCUCCAUUUGUAAUGCUUUAACAGGUGUAGAAGAAUCAGUGAGACAAAUAAAACAAUCAACACUUAAUGAAGUCUGGCAGAAAUUUUGGAAUGAGGUUGUGACUGAUUCGGAAGGUUUCCUUCCAGUGGUAGAAGAAAUUGAAAAUAUUGUAACAUCUGCAAACCAUUUGAAUAGUGAAGGCCUCAAAGACAUUGAGUUAAUUGACAUUACUGAAUUGUUAGACUCUCACCGUCAAAAGAUAGUUUAGAAAUAUUUUGGAGAUGUGAUCACAUCAAAAGGCAAUAAAAGAAGCCAGCAUACGUUAACAUCCAGAACUCUAAGAAUGUUCAAGUAUCUACUCCACAAAUGAAAUUGUCACAGUGAUUCAAAAGAAAGAGGUCCUUUGGUGGACUACAUAUUGACUUUCAGGGGAGAAGAGGUUGACAUUAGGACAUGUCAUUCAAACCCGUUCUGCAAACAGAAAAACAGGAAGUAGAUACGCCGCACACAGAUGGUUAAACCUUGGGAUUCAGACUCUGAUGGCUCUGAUGAUGUGGUGAUUUGUGUGCUGGGAAUGAAAGAGGAGCAGAAGACAGAGCUUACAUCUCUUCAGACGAAAUGCGAUUUUCUCUAUUCUUUCCCUGUUACUACUGUUAUGACCAAGCAUUUUCAUUGAUGCGUUAUCAUCUUCAUCUUGAGAUCACAAAGGAAGUUAAUUGCCUGAUAUCCACUAUUGCUAAUAUAAAAUAUCAUUGAUAUUUAUUUUAUUGUUUUAUUUUGGUGAACAAACUAAUUAUCUGGGCUUUCGUAAUACUCACAUCCCUGCCUCAUUUUUUCCUAAAAGGUCUUAAAUUCCUACAACACGGAUACUCUGAGAGUUUCAGAAACUCAACUAUGGCAUUUAAGGAGUGUGCUGCUACUGUACUUGGCUGGAUGAUUUGAUUUUGUACUCUUGAUCUGAAAUUUGUUUUAAUUCUGAUUAAGCCUAACUUGUGAUCUCACCAGAAAGGAUUAGUUUGGUAUACGUUAAAUUAAUUUGUUUUGCAGCAGUUGUAUAUGUUAGCUAUUGGCUGAUCCUGAAAAACAGUAUAUUUAUGUUAAAUUUCCAGAUUUCCUUUGGUAGCUAAUCAAGGAGGAACAGUUGCUAGAGUUCAUUUUCAUAGAUUCUUUCUGUUCUCAUAUCUGGCCUCCCCAGUGAUUCGAAGAGUUGAAUAUCCUCCAAAAAAACAAAAACAAAAACAAAAACAAAACAGAUAUAUUACUUCCUGUUCUCUGAUGGUGAUGGAGACAUCAUUCUCAGAUUGUUUUUAAAUUCCCUCCAUAAUUCCUUAUAUUUACUUUAUUUGAUUCAAUUGUGUUACACAAGUUAUUGUUAUGGUUGUUUUAAUUUUGGAUGUUUGGAAUUUUCCAGGCAGAUUUGACAGAGGGGAAAAAAAAUCACAAAGCCAGAGAUAUGACGCUGUUAUCUUGUUCUAAGGAUUUUGAGCAAAGACAUAGGAUGAACCUGCCUGUUCUUUUGGCUGCUUGUACACAUUCCCAACUGAUGUCCAUUUUGAACUCAGUUGGACAGUUAUUCUGGGGAAUAGAGAGGAAGUCCAAAUAACAAUGCUGUUGUUUCUGUCUUAAUUGCUAUUUGUGCCGGAUUCACAGCACUGACCUCAUCAUUAUAUCUGAUAAUGAUGCACAGAAAACCUGAAUAGAGAAAAGAAGAAAGAUAGUUCAUUGGCAUGUGCUUGCCAAAAAGAGACUUUAUAUAACUUGAGAAAACAUAAAGACAACCUAGAAUGAGGAAAUGUAUGUACAGUAAUGAAAAAAAAUGCUUUAAACAGCAGUGUCAAAAACUGACAUUGGAGAGUAAAUUGAAUUUGGUUUUGUAGGAAGCAGGAAACAAGCCUACUCAACAUGAAAUUUGGCGUAAGGGAGUCCAGUAACUUUCUCCUCAGUCUGUGAACUAUACGUGAGUUUGAUAUUUUGAAGGAAAAGGAACAAAAAAGUUUAAAAGGACUUUUGCACAGCAAAUGAAACUAGCAUCAGAAUGAACAGGCAACCUAAAGAAUGGGAGAAAAAUUUUGCAAUCCACCCAUCUGACAAAGGUCUAAUAUCCAGAAUCUGCAAGGAGCUUAAACAAAUUUACAAGAAAAAACAACCCCAUCAAAAAGUGGGCAAAGGAUAUGAACAGACACUUCUCAAAAGAAGACACUUAUGCAGCCAACAAACAUGAGAAAAAGCUCAUGAUCACUGAUCAUUAGCGAAACGCAAAUCAAAACCACAAUGCGAGCCAGACCGGGGUCUGGUGCGGAGAGCCCCUCAUCCUGGAAAACGGGCCUUGGCCAGAAAGGCAGCCACCCCCUUGCGCAUCAUGCAACACACGUUUGUGAAGAACUUGGCGCUAAACCAUUCCUAGACAACCGACUUCUGAGUCGGGGUUUCGUGAGUAGCAGAGCAACUUCUUCACUGCCAUCUGUUGACAGUGAGCCCUCCACACAAGGGUUUGUCUGCCUGCGUGCUCGGGGGACCGUUGGACCAGUGGUGUCGUCUGUCCCUAUUCCUUCCUUUCUCCCGCCACCCGCUGGGGUCCUCCUUACCCCAGCCUGCGCAUGCCCACCUACUCUGGGUGUGUCUCACGCUGGCCUGUCCACACCUGCCGCGCGUCAGGCCAGUCAGAAUG